AUUAUAAUAGUUUAAAUAAAACAUAGAUUUUGUAAAUCUAAAAUGAAUUUCUUAUAAUA
rnacentral:tRNA from 1 species